GCCAGUGGCUUAGUGGUUAGAGCUUCCGCCUCGGAUGCGGGAGGUCGCUGGCUCGUACCUCAUCAGAGUCA